rnacentral:rRNA from 1 species
UACAGAGGCGGCAAGCGUUGUUCGGAAUUAUUGGGCGUAAAGAGCACGUAGGCGGCUGUGUAAGUCGGUUGUGAAAGCCUUCCGCUCAACGGAAGAACGGCAGUCGAUACUGCAUGGCUUGAGUGCGGGAGGGGAGAGUGGAACUUCUGGUGGAGCGGUGAAAUGCGUAGAUAUCAGAAGGAACGCCGGCGGCGAAAGCGGCUCUCUGGCCCAUAACUGACGCUGAGUGUGCGAAAGCUAGGGGAGCAAACGGG